GACGAACGUUGGCGGCGUGCUUAAUACAUGCAAGUCAACUGAAGCAGUGGUAGCAAUAUCGCUGUGGAGGUGGCGCACGGGUGAGUAACACGUAGGUAAUCUGCCUUCAGGUCUGGCAUAACUCCGGGAAACCGGGGCUAAUAGCAGAUGAUGCAGCGGCUCGACAUCGAGACAGUUGUUAAAGCUAUGGCGCCUGAAGAUGAGCCUGCGUCUGAUUAGCUAGUUGGCGGGGUAACGGCCCACCAAGGCAACGAUCAGUAGCUGGUCUGAGAGGAUGAUCAGCCUCACUGGAACUGAGACACGGUCCAGACUCCUACGGGAGGCAGCAGUAAGGAAUAUUGCUCAAUGGGAGAAAUCCUGAAGCAGCAACGCCGCGUGAGGGACGAAGGGCUUUUGCUUGUAAACCUCUGUAGUGAGAGAAAAAAAUCCCAAUCUUUGGGACAUGAUGGUAUCUCAAAAGUAAGCCCCGGCUAACUACGUG
rnacentral:rRNA from 1 species